AUACUUACCUGGCAGGGGAGAUACCAUGAUCACGAAGGUGGUUUUCCCAGGGAGAGGCUUAUCCAUUGCACUCCAGAUGUGCUGAUCCCUAUUAUUUUAAAUUAAAUUUUAAAAAACUAUGGUAAUAGAGUCAAGGGACUGUAGGGUCACAUUUGACUCUU